GUUUUUGUAAUUAUUUCCCCCCUCAGGUUCUAACUGUUGUUGUGGCCUAAUGCUAAAAAUAUUUUAUCUUCAAGAUCUAAAGAAAAUGUUUUCUUCUGAUGUAACAUUCUGUACUCUUGGCUUUUCUUAAUAUAUCUAAAUUGUUCUAUGAAACUGAAAACCUUCACUUACGAUUCAGGACACACUUUUCCUAUGUCUGAUUAAAUAAUUCAUGUACUCUUUUCAAUAGUUUUGACUUGCAGGUUAUGUAAAUGGACCCCUAACAGAGGAAAGCAACCUCACUGCAGAAGGUUUUUGUUUUUGUUUUUCUGCCUUUCGGUAACUGGCCUAAGAAACAGAUUUUAUGUUUUAUCGAAAUAAUUUCUAUGCCAUUGUUAUUAAGUUUCUGAUUUGCUUAGUAAAACUGAGAUUUAAAAAUACAAGAUUAUUAUAUCCAUGUAAUUUUCUGUAUUGCUUUUAGAGUCCCUGUACUGUUAAGUUACAGGGCUAUGAUUCCUGAGUCUAAAAAGGACACCAACUCCUUCUAAAUCAUAAACACUUACAGUAGCCUUAUCUUCAGACCUGGUAGAAUAUGACAAUCAAAAUAAUUUGCAUUCAUGAGAUACAAGGCCACAAAUUAGAACUAUUCAAAUCCUCCAGGCCCAAGGACUAACAUGGAAGACGUGGACGCAGGAGACUGUAAGGGCUAAUUUUCAGAGAAAAUUAGUUCAGUAUUUUUCGAUAAAUUAAACAUUCAUAUCAAAGGCACUGAUACAAGACCAGCAUUUGUGCCAGUGUGUCAGAUUAACGAAGUUUUCUGGCAGCUUUAACCACUCUUUAAUUAAAAAAAUUGUAAAAGAUUAUAAAAAGGCUUACGAAAAUUCUGUCUUAUGGUCAAGAUGAUUAAAAUUUAAUAGAUUUGUUUAUAAGAAUUGAGAAACAUAUUUAGCUGGCCUCAUGAUGUCUUUAUUAGGUCUCAUUGUUUAUGAAAGUGAGUCUCCUUUCUAAAAGAGUCAGAGUUUUUGCCCUUUUUUUGGAAAUAUUUGUAUUACCACUUUGGAUAAAUGAAUGACUUAUUUUACAGUUACCUGUGAUCCUAUUUUGUGAUAUCAAGUGUUUUAAACCUCUGUUAUUUGGCAAACUGGCAAAAACCAAAUUGUAAAUUCAGUCUUUUUGACUUCAUCAAUUUUUUUGAUAUGAGGCCCCCUGAAGUCCAAAAGAGAAAUAGUCAGAUUUUUGGUAUAAUAAAAUCAUACAGGAAGCAUUGUCAAAUAUGAAAUGGUGUUUAAUUCUUUUUAGAUUAUAUUUUUAUAAAUAUGCUAUUAAUAUGUGUUGCAAAAUUGUAUGAGGUUCCUGUGAUUCUGUUAUUUCUUAGUAUAUGUUAUCAGUAGUAAUUAUAAUUAUGUUAGAUUGCUGUUUGCCACAUAAAUAACCAAAUUUCCUUGUCAAUUCCAUCUCUAACCAUGGUUGUGAUGGCAGCAGUGACCUUUCUGGAGCAGCGCUGUGAAGACACUGGCUGCAGUGGGGGAGGAGUAGCCAGGGCUAUGUGCCCCAUGGAUCUGGCAGAGGUCUGCCUAUGGCCACCCAUGGACCAAUCAGCACACAAUUUUUCCCUUAGGAGCUCAUAAAAACCCCAGACUCAGCCAGACUCACAGAGACAUUGGGAUUACCAGCUGUGGGACGGAGCUACCUGCUACAGGUCUCCUCUAUGUGGACAGCUGGACAUUCAUCAGGAUAACCUGCCCAUAGAAAGGAGCUACCCACUAUGGGUUUCCUCUCUGCUAAGAGUUGUACACUCAUCAGGACAACCUGCCUGUGGAAAGGAGCAACCCACUUUGAGUUUCCUCUGAGCUGUUCUGUCUCAGUGACGCUUCUCUCUGCCUUGCUCACCCUCCAGUUGUCCACGUACCUCAUUCUUCCUGGACAUAGAACAAGAACUCAGGACCCAUUGAAUGGCCCGACUGAAAGAGCUGUAACACAAACAGGGCUGAAACAUGUCCCUGCUUACCAUGUUGUGGGCGAUGAAAAUAAGAGAAGAGCUGCAGUCCUUCUGGCAGCCCAGACAUAGGAGCUCCCUGAGCCAGGGCUGUGACACCCUCUUUGGGGCUCUGCCAUUCCUGGCAUCUCCAAGCUUGUGGGCACCACCAUGUUCCCCAGUGCUCACAGUGCAUGCCACUUACAUUACGUCUGGCCCAGCUGCAGCCUCACAUGGAGCUCGUGACUGUGCCAGUGCCAGGAGCUGCCUGCCUGCCUUAGCUGGCAUGCCUGGCUGUGUUCAGUGGCCAGACCCAGUGAUCAUUUACACACCCCUUGCCGCUCCACACCUGGCUCACCCUUCGCAGGCGUGAGGUUGAGGCCGGCAGCAUGAGCUGAGUGCAGCAUGCUGGGUGCCACCAGCCACAGAGGUUUCCAGCUGGGAAAGCGACAACCCCCAGAUCCCACGACACUUUGUCCUGCAUUUCCACUUAUGCUACCCACCCAUUAGUCACUUGUAGAGGUCUUGGUUAUCAGACCCACUGUUUAGAUUGUAGUGCUUGUCUUCAGGUAAUCCUUAUUAUACUUAAUAAUGGCACCAAAGUACAAGAGUAUUGAUGUUGCCAUAUUGUUAAAAUUGUUCUAUUUUAUUAUUAGGUUAUUGUUAUACAUCUUUUACUGUGCCUAAUUUAUAAAUUAAGCUGUAUCAUAUGUAUGUAUGUAUGUACGUAUAGGAAAAAACACAGUACUUACUGUGUCCACAGUGUUAGAUAUUUGCCAAAGUUUCAGACACCUAAUGGGGUUCUUGGAACUUAUGACCCACAAAUAAAAGGGAACUGUUAUACUCUAAGGUUUUAAUAUCAUUCAAACCUAAACGUCCUUUAAAUGGUCUACAAGGCCUUAUAAUACUUGAUCAUACACCACCGCUCCCCCACCCCAUACCCACCCUAGUCGAAAUCACUAGUCUUAUGCUGCCUCUCUCUCAGCUCCUUAUCUAACCUUGUCACUCAAAGCCUGUACUGUGGACAAAUGGCAUUGGCAUCACCAGGGAACCUGUUGUGAAUUCAGAGAUUCAGAUCUCACUUCACAGUCAUCAAAACAGAAUCUGCAUUUUAAAUGGAUCACCAAGCAAUUCCUAUGCACAUUAAAGUUUGAGAAGCACUAAUGUAGGUAUUACUAGAAUGAGAAAAAAUACAGAUUAAAAAUAAGAGGCUUAAUUCUCACUGUUGAAAAUAGGAAAUAGAUUUUCCUCCGUUCCCAUUUUGUUAGUAAGUUUACCUUAGAAACCUGAAAAUGUAAGUACUUUUUCUGUUUCUUUGAAAUGUAUAUGAAUAUUUUUAGAAACUAAAUAAAGCUUUUGUCAGCUUUAUGACCAAGGAAUGUCUUUCUCAACGACCAAGGAGCCAUCUCUUUGAAAUGUAAACAUCAUGGAAAAUAAGGUUCCUAUCUCUCAGUUUCUGCUCGAGGGUGGAAGCCUCACUUCAGUGGGCACCUUGCUGCAAACUGCAAGACUAACUCCUGUCAUAAAGAUAGAAGCUGCUUUUUCCUCUGAGUAAAGACCAUAGCUAACACAGAUAGUCACUCCAAUCACCAGGUAAAGUUAAAAUGAAGUAUAUGUGACAAAUAGUCCUGUCAAGUCCUCUUUAGGACUACUUAUUGUUCAUCUUGAAAAGACAUAUGUAAUGAUAUGUAUCUGCUUGGCUCUACGUAAAGGUGGGAUUUCUCUCUCUGCCGUAUUUUGCUGUACCUGCAGUCUCUUAGUGUAUUUCCUGUGAUUGCAUCACAUUCUAUUUACAUGCUUAUUCAAUAACGAAAAUGUUUUCUUCCUCUAUUAUCUUUGUAGAGAGGAUUUCUGGGUUAGGAGAAGAUUUUGUUUUUAAUUAUAUUUCCCCAACAUCUGCAAGUCUUAAAUUGGAAGUUUAGAAGAUGCACUUAUUAGUCUGCAAAAAUCUCAAACUUACCCCUUGUUCAAACUACUCUUAGCCACACUGGCUUCCUUUAAGUUCUUUGAACAUUCCAAACAUUUUACACUACUGUUUUGUCUUCCUGCAAACUCAUCCCCAGGAUGUCUCACUUAAGAAGACUGUCAAUUUAUCAAAUAUUUAUUCUUCCCUGUUUCAUUAAUAAAAAACCCUCUCUAUUCCCUUUGCUUCUACACUCUCUUUGUUUUACAUACGUA
rnacentral:lncRNA from 10 species